rnacentral:rRNA from 1 species
UACGGGGGGUGCGAGCGUUGUUCGGAUUUAUUGGGCGUAAAGCGCGUGCAGGCGGUUUGUUAAGUCUGAUGUGAAAGCCCCGGGCCCAACCCGGGAAGUGCAUUGGAUACUGGCAGACUUGAAUACGGGAGAGGAGAGUGGAAUUCCUGGAGUAGGGGUGAAAUCCGUAGAUAUCAGGAAGAACACCGGUGGCGAAGGCGGCUCUCUGGAACGAUAUUGACGCUGAGACGCGAAAGCGUGGGUAGCAAACAGG